AGCAGAGAAGGUCACCACUACCCCCUCUUCAUCACAGAAUCAGCAGUUCUUUAUGUGGCCAUCACAAGCAGCUAGGACAUGAAUUUGGUGGAUGCUGCAAGCAAAUAGGGUGGAAAGAAAGAAGCAAAAGGCAAGCUCGCCGUCCCUCACAUUUAUGCAUCUGGAGACUAUCUGCCCUCCCCCGCUUUCGAGUCCUCUCCCUGAAUCCACUCUGAAUCCAUGCUGAAUCCUCUCUCUGAAUCCAAUCUGCAGCAGGGGGAAAUCUCAUGCCCAGCAGAUAGAGGAAAAUCCUCAGGCUUGGUUCACUGAUGGAAUGGCUUGCAAAACAACUCACCAGAGUCCUAAAAGAGCUGCCCCCAGUACUUAUACAAAGCAUUGGAUCUGAGUCGUAUAGGGGUACAUUGAAGUGGAUGCUGUGAUUCACCUCUCACAUGCCUGUUCAGGAAUGGUGGACUUAUUCCCUUAACUGCUGGGAUGGUGUCAGAAGAGAGCCCUCAACUGUCAACCUUCUUCGGACUUGCUUCUCUCAAGCAAAGCAGAGAAUUUGAUGGCUGGUCUCCAGUGGAUUUUUCUAUGCAAAGGAAGGCUAGGAAGAAGCCAUAGACACCGAGAAUCACACUGACUCCAGAAGUGAAGCUGUUGAAGAUUACCGAAGCCCCAAACAAUGGAAUCAUAUUUUCAUCUCAAUAUGCUGUUUCCACUUCCUUGUUAUUAUGUGAGUUAAAAACAUCAAAGAUUAGAGAACAAUGGCUUUUCCCAAGUUAACAAGAGCUUAACUU